rnacentral:rRNA from 1 species
AUGGCCGGCGUGCCUAUACAUGCAGUAACGAAAGCGGACAGAAGGGAGCUUGCUCCCGGAUGUUAGCGGCGGACGGGUGAGUAACACGUGGGUAACAACUGCCUGUAAGACUGGGAUAACUCCGGGAAACCGGAGCUAAUACCGGAUAGUUCCUUGAACCGCAUGGUUCAAGGAUGAAAGACGGUUUCGGCUGUCACUUACAGAUGGACCCGCGGCGCAUUAGCUAGUUGGUGAGGCAAUACGAUAACGGCUCAAACCAAGGCGACGAUGCGUAGCCGACCUGAGAGGGUGAUCGGCCACACUGGGACUGAGACACGGCCCAGAAACAAUCCAUACGGGAGGCAGCAGUAGGGAAUCUUCCGCAAUGGACGAAAGUCUGACGGAGCAACGCAACGGCAUCGCGUGAGUGAUGAAGGUUUUCGGAUCGUAAAGCUCUGUUGUUAGGGAAGAACAAGUGCAAGAGUAACUGCUUGCACCUUGACGGUACCUAACCAGAAAGCCACGGCUAACUACGUGCCAGCAGCCGCGGUAAUACGUAGGUGGCAAGCGUAAUGUCCGGAAUUAUUGGGCGUAAAGGGCUCGCAGGCGGUCAACACUUUCUUAAGUCUGAUGUGAAAGCCCCCGGCUCAACCGGGGAGGGUCAUUGGAAACUGGGAAACUUGAGUGCAGAAGAGGAGAGUGGAAUUCCACGUGUAGCGGUGAAAUGCGUAGAGAUGUGGAGGAACACCAGUGGCGAAGGCGACUCUCUGGUCUGUAACUGACGCUGAGGAGACCGAAAGCGUGGGGAGCGAACAGGAUUAGAUACCCUGGUAGUCCACGCCGUAAACGAUGAGUGCUAAGUGUCAAUAGGGGGUUUCCGCCCCUUAGUGCUGCAGCUAACGCAUUAAGCACUAACCGCAAACUGGGGAGUACGGUCGCAAGACUGAAACUCAAAGGAAUUGACGGGGGCCCGCACAAGCGGUGGAGCAUGUGGUUUAAUUCGAAAGCAACGCCGGAUAUGAAGAACCUUACCAGGUCUUGACAUCCUCUGACAA